rnacentral:rRNA from 1 species
UACGUAGGGGGCAAGCGUUGUCCGGAAUCAUUGGGCGUAAGGAGCGUGUAGGCGGCCAGAUAAGUCCGCUGUGAAAUCUCGAGGCUCAACUUCGAGCUGUCGGUGGAAACUGUCUGGCUAGAGUCCGGAAGAGGAGAAUGGAAUUCCUGGUGUAGCGGUGAAAUGCGCAGAUAUCGGAAGGAACACCAGUGGCGAAAGCGGCUUCCUGGUCCAGCAUCGACGUUCAGGCACGAAAGCGUGGGGAGCAAACAGG